rnacentral:rRNA from 1 species
ACUCCUACGGAAGGCAGCAGUGGGGAAUUUUGGACAAUGGGGCAACCCUGAUCCAGCCAUGCCGCGUGAGUGAAGAAGGCCUUCGGGUUGUAAAGCUCUUUCGGCCGGGAAGAAAUCGCAUUCUCUAAUAUAGGAUGUGGAUGACGGUACCGGACUAAGAAGCACCGGCUAACUACGUGCCAGCAGCCGCGGUAAU